UACAGAGGUCUCAAGCGUUGUUCGGAUUCAUUGGGCGUAAAGGGUGCGUAGGUGGCGCUGUAAGUCGGGUGUGAAAUUUCGGAGCUUAACUCCGAAACUGCAUUCGAUACUGCGGUGCUUGAGGACUGGAGAGGAGACUGGAAUUUACGGUGUAGCGGUGAAAUGCGUAGAUAUCGAUAAGGAAGACCAGUGGCGAAGGCGGGUCUCGUGGACAGUUCCUGACGCUGAGGCACGAAGGUCAGGGGGAGCAAACGGG
rnacentral:rRNA from 1 species